UACGGAGGUUGCAAGCGUUAUCCGGAUUCACUGGGUUUAAAGGGUGCGUAGGCGGUCAGGUAAGUCCGUUGUGAAAUCUCUGAGCUUAACUCAGAAACUGCCAUGGAUACUAUUUGUCUUGAAUAUUGUGGAGGUAAGCGGAAUAUGUCAUGUAGCGGUGAAAUGCUUAGAUAUGACAUAGAACACCAGUUGCGAAGGCAGCUUACUACACAAUAAUUGACGCUGAGGCACGAAAGCGUGGGGAUCAAACAGG
rnacentral:rRNA from 1 species